AAAAUAUAACUUACAAGCAAGUGAUCCAUAAUCGUUUUUUCAAGCCUCUAGACAUCUACCACAAAAUAUUCGCAUGUUCAACUCAUUACUAUGCAAAAGAUAAGGUUGAUACCUGCAUAAGAUUACCUUGUAGGUCACCUAUGCCUCAGCCAUGAACAGCUUUUCCUGAGACACAGACGGACAGGUAAUUUUCUUUCAGGAGCUUCCAUCAGGAGGUUACCAACCUUCUGUCUGAUCAUCGGAUCAUCUAAAAACAUUUAAUCUGUACAGUUUUUAUUUUUGUAUAAUGAUCCUUUUUAAUAAAAGCAAAAAAAAUUAGG